GCUCCCAUAGUUCAACGGAUAGAACAGAGGUUUCCUAAACCUCUAAUGUAGGUUCAAUUCCUACUGGGGGCA
rnacentral:tRNA from 1 species